UACGGAGGGUGCGAGCGUUGUCCGGAAUCACUGGGCGUAAAGGGCGCGUAGGCGGCUCAUGAAGGCUGUGGUGAAAGUCCGGGGCUCAACCUCGGAUCGGCCGUGGCGACUCGUGGGCUGGAGCACUGUAGAGGCGGGUGGAAUUCCGGGGUGUAGCGGUGGAAUGCGUAGAGAUCCGGAAGAACACCAGUGGCGAAGGCGGCCCGCUGGGCAGUGGCUGACGCUGAAGCGCGACAGCGUGGGGGAGCAAACAGG
rnacentral:rRNA from 1 species